ACCUUGCUGGCUCAGUUGGUAGAGCAUGUGACUCUCGAUCUUGGGAUCGUGAGUUCAAGCCCCACGUUGGGCC
rnacentral:tRNA from 1 species